CAUGCAAGUCGAGCGGUAACAGGAAUUAGCUUGCUAAUUUGCUGACGAGCGGCGGACGGGUGAGUAACGCGUAGGAAUCUGCCUGGUAGUGGGGGACAACAUGUGGAAACGCAUGCUAAUACCGCAUACGCCCUACGGGGGAAAGGAGGGGAUCUUCGGACCUUUCGCUAUCAGAUGAGCCUGCGUGAGAUUAGCUAGUUGGUGGGGUAAAGGCUCACCAAGGCGACGAUCUCUAGCUGGUCUGAGAGGAUGAUCAGCCACACUGGGACUGAGACACGGCCCAGACUCCUACGGGAGGCAGCAGUGGGGAAUAUUGGACAAUGGGCGCAAGCCUGAUCCAGCCAUGCCGCGUGUGUGAAGAAGGCCUUCGGGUUGUAAAGCACUUUCAGAGGUGAGGAAGGGUGCGUAGUUAAUACCUGCGUACUUUGACGUUAACCUCAGAAGAAGCACCGGCUAACUCUGUGCCAGCAGCCGCGGUAAUACAGAGGGUGCGAGCGUUAAUCGGAAUUACUGGGCGUAAAGCGCGCGUAGGCGGUUUGUUAAGUCGGAUGUGAAAUCCCAGGGCUCAACCU
rnacentral:rRNA from 1 species